UGGGGCCUUGCAAACAACCCUCUUGGCUUGGUCUUCUCUGUAUUUUCUCUGUCCCUGUGCCUCCAACCAACCCCCGAUGCUCUGGGCUCUUUCUGCAGAGCUCUGUCCCCUGCGUCUGGCUCUGAGCCCCUUCUUUCCUGCUGAAUUGGUUCUUAUUCUCAGCCUGCUAGCUCGUGGCCACCUCCCCAUCACCCUAGGGUUACCCCCGCCCCCCUUGUGUGUCCCCUAGCCCCUCUGGCCCUCUGACCCCCUCCCCAGGGCAUCCCAAUUCUCUGCUCAUCUCAUCUCACUUAAUUCCUAGUUCCUCUGCCCCCUUCACGUCCCUUGUCCUUCCUGUCGUGGCUCCCCUUGGGGUCCUUCUGAGGACCUCAGAGAGAGGAGAGUUAAGGCCCAGAAUUGGAGUAGGAAGGGGGAGUGGGUGUUACGAGGGCAGUUUCAUGGGGAUGGUGGGAACCGCGUGGGGUCCUGGAGGGUGUGCAGCUUCACAGUCACCUGUCACCUUCCACAAGAGUUAAUUUUCACCGGGAAGAAUGGGGUAACCUUGGCUUGGGAGAUCUUGGGGUCUUCCUUUGGCUUCCUGCUUGUGGGGAGCUCAGCCUCCUGCCAUUGCUCCUGUUAGGCUCCAUGCUAGUUAAGACCUUCAGAGCACACUAGGUCAAAGCUGAGCAUGCACAGGGGACUAAUUUUGGGCUGAAUGGAGGUUUGAGGGAGCCGGGGCUGUGAGCCCUGCAGCCAGUUGUGUCAACCCAUCGCAAUGGCCCCAGCUGGCUGGGUUCAGGCCAGGACUCCCCUUGGGAGCAGCUCCUUCUCUCUGAUGUCGUGCCCCUCUGCCCAAGUCUGUGGCCUGAGCGGGGCUGUCCACAGUUAGGGAGUAACUCGCCUGCUGUCUCCUCUCCCCGAUCCUGGCAGGUGAACAUCAUUCCCAUCAUUGCCAAGGCUGACACCAUCUCCAAGAGUGAACUCCACAAGUUCAAGAUCAAGAUCAUGGGCGAGCUGGUCAGCAAUGGGGUCCAGAUCUACCAGUUUCCCACUGAUGACGAGGCUGUUGCCGAGAUCAACGCAGUCAUGAAUGCACACCUGCCCUUUGCCGUGGUGGGCAGCACGGAGGAGGUGAAGGUGGGGAACAAGCUGGUGCGAGCACGGCAGUACCCGUGGGGAGUGGUGCAAGUGGAGAACGAGAAUCACUGCGACUUCGUGAAGCUCCGGGAGAUGCUGAUCCGGGUGAACAUGGAGAGCUGGGCUUCCAGGACAGCGACGGUGACAGCCAGCCCUUCAGCCUCCAGGAGACGUAUGAGGCCAAGAGGAAGGAGUUCCUGAGUGAGCUGCAGAGGAAGGAGGAAGAGAUGAGGCAGAUGUUUGUCAACAAAGUGAAGGAGACGGAGCUGGAGUUGAAGGAGAAGGAGAGAGAGCUCCACGAGAAGUUUGAGCACCUCAAGCGGGUCCACCAGGAGGAAAAGCGCAAAGUGGAGGAGAAGCGCCGCGAACUGGAGGAGGAGACCAGUGCCUUCAACCGCAGGAAGGCUGCAGUGGAGGCCCUGCAGUCCCAGGCCCUGCACGCCACCUCGCAGCAGCCUCUGAGGAAGGACAAGGACAAGAAGAAGUAGGUGGUGGGCUCCUGGCCCUGGGCUCGCUCCCACUCCCACUCCUUCUCGCCCCUUCUCAGCUCUCAUCUCGCUCCCUUUCAUUCUCACGUUCUCACCCCCCUCAUCUCUCGUUCUCACCCCCUCUCUUGUUCUCACUCCCUCUCAUCUCUCGUUCUCACCCCCUCUCGUCUCUCGUCCUCACCCCUUCUCUUGUUCUCACCCCCUUUCAUCUCUUGUUCUCACCCCCUCUCUCGUCCCCACCCCCUCUCUCGUCUCUCUUGUUCUCGCCCCCUCUGGUUUGUUCCUUCUCAUCGCCCCCUCUGUCUCCCUCUUUCUCACCGGUUCACCCCUUUGCUCUCUCCUUUCCCCUGCUCUCUCACCUCAGUCUCACUCAUCCUUCGUUUUCUUUCUCUGGUGGCCUUCAUGGACCAAGACCUCAAUCAAGCGCAGGCGCCCACCCUUGUCUUGGUGCAUGAGUGGCCCCUCUCCCUCCCCCAUCCCACAGCCCAUUACUCUCUCUCUCUCUCUCUCACUGUCUUUCUCCUGCAGCCCCUCAAGAGCUGGGUGGAGGAGGCCGGCCGCCCAGGCAGGGAGUGGCCCCUGAGAGGGUGUAGGCUCCUGGGGAACGUCUCUCAGGCCGGGAGAGGGUCAGGGCCUCGGCAUGGCAGCAUUUCUGGACAGAAUCCCAAAGCCCCUGUGGGUUCUCCUUGGGCGGCCGGGGUGCCGCCCCUCCGUCCUGAGGCUGUGGACGUGGUCCCCAUGUGGACAGGCAGGUGCUGACUGAGGACAGUGGAGCCCAGCCAGGCCUGACCCCCUGGACUCUGUGAUCACGGCCUGCUGAGGGAAGGGCCGCAGCUCCCGGUAGGGGCUCCCUGAGUCCUGCUGGGCAGAGGGGCUGCCCCUCGAGGAGAGGCUGGAGUUGUUCUUCUGAGAGUCAGGAGUUGACGGGGAGGAGAGAGAGGGGUGGGGGAUGGAGAGGAGGCCUUUCCCAGCCUCCAGGAGGCCUGGCAGCCUCCUGGCCAGGUGGGGGCCGCCCUAAGUCCCUCCUCCUCAGUGUUUUUCAUGGCCCGUUUCCACACUCAGAGCUGGCGCCCGGGUGCCCUGGCUUCCUCUCCCACCUCACUUCAUUCAGCGUCCCACACCCCGUCCCCCCGUGGGGAUCUCGUCCAUUCCUGCUUCUCCCUGCUCCUGGCCUGUGUCGGUAACUUCCUUCUCUUGCCUAUCUCGAAACUAAGCAGGCGUAUCCAUCUCGGCCCUCAGUCUUAUCCUCUUGGAAUCUCAUUUCCUCCUGGAAUGUUCGAGAAUGUGUAUGUCCAGGCCCUUCUUUCCUUGGUGGCAGUGGAGCGUUGUGGUUAGAGCCAUGCAGUGCAUAGCUAGCUGUGGCCCUGGGAUGCUGCUUGUGGCGUUAGCCCUCCCCUGCCCCCCAGCAUCGCGUUCCCUAACAUACGCACAUGCGUGACACGGGUACGCUGUCUUAGUCUCUCCUGCCGCAUCACACACAGAGACUCAGAUGCACGGCUACCAAUACACACAGUUCCCAGGACACACCUGCACAGAGGCACAGACACACCUAAGGAAAAGAAAGUUAAAGGGCUCCUCCCUCAGGGAAGGCCAGGAGGACAGAGCCAGGCAUUUAGGAACUAGAGGCUAGUUCUCAGUCUUCAGGCCUGUUUUCUGCUUUGGGACAGAGAGGCUUCUUGCUAUAGUUUCCCCAUCCUGCUGACUCAUGGCUCCAAUCCCCCUGCUGGCACUACUGGGGCAGAUAAGCCCCUGCCUGUCCUCAGGGAGGACCCCGGCCCCACACUCCCCUCAGCUGUAUCAGUUUCCCUUCGGCUUUGCCUUUGCUUCUAGCCCUGGUCCCAUGUCCAGCUCUGUGAAUUAGAACCUGUGUGGAUUUCAAGCUAGCAGCUCAGAAAUCUGGUUUCUCCUGGAAGGAGUAUGCCAGUCUGUGGCCCAGGUGCUGGCACCCCAAGAGACUUUGCCCUGUUCCUGCCAGCUUAGCCCAGGCCAUCUCCAUUAAAAAAAAAAAAAAAGGCAGAGUCCCCUAGGAAGCGAGAUGUGGAGAAACCUCUGAAAAACUGAAGACAAUAGAGUUCCCGUUGUGGCUCAGUGGUAAGGAAUCUGACUGGCAUCCACGAGGACGCAGGUUCGAUCCCUGGCCUCUGUCAGUGGGUUAAGGAUCCGGCGUUGCCAUAAGCUGUGAUGUAGGUCACAGAUGUGACUGGGAUCUGGCGUAGCUGUGGCUGUGCUGUAGGCCAAUAGCUGUGGCUCGGAUUCAGCCCCUAGCCUGGGAAUCUCCAGAUGCCGUGGGCAUGGCCCUAAAGAGAGGGAAAAAAAAAAAGCAAAAACCCCUAGAAAACUGAGGACGAGGACCUGUGGCUGGGUUAGGGUGUAAGGUCAGUGGGGUGGGGUCGGCCGGGUUCAAGGGCACCAGCACAGCUCAGGGUGGGGCUCAUCACUGGUGUCAGGUUUCCAGGCUUUUUUCAUGUGACCUGAGCCUGGAAAUAGGUCUUUUGUGUUGGCGGGACAUUCCAGAAAGCUUCAGUCAGUUUGGCCUCUGGGAGAGGGCCCUCUCCUCCCGUGUGGGCCUCGGGGAGGCCGGGAGCGGGGUGGAUGGGGUGGCCGGGAGCACCCUUCCCCCGGCCUGGUCAGGGCACCGGGGUGAGUCAGGAGUGCAUUUAGAGGGGCCUUUGGGGAUGCCCGUUUACUUGAAUGGCUUUGACCGAUUGUACUUAUUCGUCAAACCUUAAUCCCUUUUUGUAAAAUUACCUCCUAGUCGGAUCUGGACGCUCAGCCUGGGAUGCCAUAAACCGAAGCGAGUUCUCUGCUUUGCUCGUCCCAAAUGCCAAACUGACUGUCCUUUCCCAGUGUCCACCUUGCUGUC
rnacentral:lncRNA from 1 species